GGUUCAGGAAACAGAAACCAGCUUAUCGUGAGGAAGCACAGGCCAGGAAUCGUUCAAAAACAUUUUAUCUGUUACAAGGGGGAAAGAAGUCUCUAGGACAACGAUUUGCCUCAGCUGGGAGAAGCUAGGACCUGGUGGAAGAGACCGCCCUUCACUGAGGGGGCUGGGUGCUCAGGUCGCUGCACAGGGCUCGCCCUGCCCUUACCAGCAGAGGUAGGAGGAACCUGGGUCAGGAAGGACCCAGGUAUGAGAGGUCUGCAUCCCUAUUACCCGGCACGGGAUCCGGCUCAUUAGAUUGGCAGGGAAUGUUACAGUCAAUGGAGUGGACUAAUUCUGGCCUUUGCUACUGAUUCACUCUUUGGCUUUGUCAAGCUUUAUUGGAUAUUUCAUCAUUUUAUUGCGAUUAUAAAUGGGUCCUCCACAGCGUUGGGAAGAGGUAAUGGUGAUAAAUGGAAACACGUGAAUGAAUUAACCCUUUGACGGAAGGAGGAGAAAGGGAGUAAAAAGCAAUGAGGACUGGACUAGAGAGGGCAAAAGCCUGGGAAAGGAAGUGCAGGCCAGGAGGAAAGUGAUUACAAACAAAAGUAGUAGCCCCAGUUACAUUAUUCAUGCAACUAAGCAGAGGAGAGUAAUCCGGGUGGAUAAAAUCACCACAAGAUGGUUGUUGUAGCCCAAGCCCUUGGAAAGACAAUGGCCAGCUUCUCCUCAAGCAGCUGAAGACCCUCUGACCUGAGAUGUGAAAAGAUGAUUAUGGAAUCCUCCCGCACUGUUUGGAGCCCGGCAGUCUGCAUAUUUUAUAAAAGUAUCUGUUCCCCAGAGACUGGAAGCCAAAGGGAUCCAGCAACUGUGUGUCAUCAUUCUUGCUGGAGGGAAAUCAUGCUUAAUCAGUGGUGGUCCAGGAGAUGAAUGAAAUAAAUACACUCUCUGAUCACCUGACAGACCUGGCAUAUAUAUAAAAAAUAACUGCACCGGGGUGCCUGGGUGGCUCAGUCGUUAGGUCAUGA